ensembl:snoRNA U3 Small nucleolar RNA U3
AAGACUAUACUUUCAGGGAUCAUUUGUGCAGUUCGUCACUGGAGAUGUUUCUCUGACUGUGUAGAGUACCAGAAACCACGAGGAGGAGCCGUAACAUUCUGUCCUGAGCGUGAAGCUGGCUCUUGGUGUUGCUUUGCUGCAACUGCCAUCGGUCAUUGAUGAUGGUUCUUCUCUCCUUUGGGAGAGUAGAGGGAGAGGAUGCGGUCUGAGUGGU